rnacentral:snoRNA from 1 species
AAGGCUCUUUAACACUUUUCAACAUGCUCAAAGUCUCUCGGCAAUUCCAGUCUCCUAUUGAGAGUAUUUCUCAUUAGGAAGCGUAUCUUUUCGGAGAUAGGGUUGUUUGAAAGGCGUCCCACGCAUGAAGAAGUAAGCUCAAGAAGCCUAGAAUAUGGUUAAUCCCUGCGCCCUUUCGCUAACACCGACUGAAACCCACAGUUCGUAGUUUGAUAGUAGCGGGCGCUAAAUUU